CGAGUACCGGUACACAGUUCUGCAAAAUGCAGAUUUUGAAGGAUAUUUUAGUAAAAUCAAGUGUAAAUAAAAAAUAGUGUGAAAUACUAUUUUUAUUGAUUUAGAAAAAGUAAAAGAUAAUUUAAAAAUAGUUUGUGGUGAAAUUGGAAUAAAAAUAGAAAAUUUAGAAUUUUCUGUAAGGAACGGGGCUAAUCUUUUAGCAGAAAAUUUACAGUAUUAGAAAAUUAUGAAAAUUUGAGAAUAUGACAGAAUUAUUUUUCUGAAGCUAGAUUUAAAGUUUCAUGUCAUUCCGACACCCGAAAAGUGAAAAACAACACCUGACUGCUAUCUACUAACGAUUUUAGUCGGUAGACUUUUCGGUGACAAAAAAUGGUUCAAAACUGAAAAGUUAUGAUUACGUUCUUAUGGUUGAUUUUAA
rnacentral:lncRNA from 1 species